UACGAAGGGGGCUAGCGUUGCUCGGAAUUACUGGGCGUAAAGCGCACGUAGGCGGCUUCUUAAGUCGGUGGUGAAAUCCUGGAGCUCAACUCCAGAACUGCCUUCGAUACUGUCGGGCUAGAGUCCGGAAGAGGCGAGUGGAAUUCCUGGUGUAGCGGUGGAAUGCGCAGAUAUCAGGAGGAACACCGAUAGCGAAGGCAGCUCGCUGGGACGGUACUGACGCUGAGGCGCGAAAGCGUGGGGAGCAAACAGG
rnacentral:rRNA from 1 species